rnacentral:sRNA from 1 species
ACUCAAAGCAAGACUGUGAAUAGAAAACCUGGCCCUCAAUAUGAAACUCACAAGAAUACACAUCAAUCUUACAUAGUUGUGGGGAGCUGUUGGAAUCUCCUGAUCUCAGACAAGUCAGUCUGUCAGGAAUGACUGUGUCCAGAUAGCAGAGUGAUGAAGUGAUCUUGUUGUCACAGCACUUUUGCUUCUAAGCCUGGAAGCAGUCUGGAACUCAGCGAUGAAGAUUGUGAAUAAAGAAAAUUCAUAUUUUUUAAAUGAAUGAACAAAAACCUAAAGUGAUUUUAGGGUGACAGAUUUCCAACCAUAUGCACUUCACCUUCCAACUCCUCUGUGACCUCCUGGUUGUCACAGAAUCUUCUGAUCCAGUAGGGUGCCUACACGGAUGUUCUGGAGACCUACACGAUGUCUGGGUUGCUGCCAAUGACUCUGAGGGAGUCUGGAGACUGUCCUUCGGUUUUUAUGUCAGCCAUCAUAAUGACAACAGAGGCUCAGAUCCAGCUGAAGAGUCCAGAUGGAGUGUAAUGAAGGAUGAGCAUCCUCACCGCCCUUUGCUCUUCACUAAGCCUAUGUCUAUCAAAGGUAAAUGUGCUCCUGUUUCAUAUGGGCUUAAAAGGUUUCAAAGCUAUUUGAGUUUGUACAGUUACUUGAAGCUAUUUCAAAAAUGCUCAGAGCCAAAGCUCUUUUCUCCUUAUGGGUAACAUGAAAAGAAGCAUGAAAAUUACUAGUCAGUUAAAUUGUUUGUUUGCUUGAUGUUUAUUUAUUCAUUUAUUCUUUUGAGACAGAUUCUUUUCUGUUCUUGACUUGCCCAGUUUACAAAUUACUGAGAUUGCACGAGAGCAGUCUAUACCUUGCCUAUUACUUCCUCUUAAUUUUAAAGGCUAAUAGAAAAUAGCUGUUUGCAAUACUCUGUGCCUUUAAAACUGGGGUAGGGGGACUCAGUUAAAAGUGAAUUAUAGCUUUCUGGUUUCUACCUGAAACCAGAGUUGCUGAUCCUGUCCCACAGCUCUCUGCACCC